rnacentral:rRNA from 1 species
UACGAAGGGGGCUAGCGUUGCUCGGAAUGACUGGGCGUAAAGGGCGCGUAGGCGGCGCAUUUAGUCAGGCGUGAAAUUCCUGGGCUCAACCUGGGGACUGCGCUUGAUACGGGUGUGCUUGAGGAUGGAAGAGGCUCGCGGAAUUCCCAGUGUAGAGGUGAAAUUCGUAGAUAUUGGGAAGAACACCGGUGGCGAAGGCGGCGACCUGGGUCGAUACUGACGCUGAGGUGCGAAAGCGUGGGGAGCAAACAGG